rnacentral:rRNA from 1 species
ACCUUCGGGCCUCUUGCCAUCGGAUGUGCCCAGAUGGGAUUAGCUAGUAGGUGGGGUAAAGGCUCACCUAGGCGACGAUCCCUAGCUGGUCUGAGAGGAUGACCAGCCACACUGGAACUGAGACACGGUCCAGACUCCUACGGGAGGCAGCAGUGGGGAAUAUUGCACAAUGGGCGCAAGCCUGAUGCAGCCAUGCCGCGUGUAUGAAGAAGGCCUUCGGGUUGUAAAGUACUUUCAGCGGGGAGGAAGGGAGUAAAGUUAAUACCUUUGCUCAUUGACGUUACCCGCAGAAGAAGCACCGGCUAACUCCGUGCCAGCAGCCGCGGUAAUACGGAGGGUGCAAGCGUUAAUCGGAAUUACUGGGCGUAAAGCGCACGCAGGCGGUUUGUUAAGUCAGAUGUGAAAUCCCCGGGCUCAACCUGGGAACUGCAUCUGAUACUGGCAAGCUUGAGUCUCGUAGAGGGGGGUAGAAUUCCAGGUGUAGCGGUGAAAUGCGUAGAGAUCUGGAGGA